rnacentral:rRNA from 1 species
AGGACGAACGCUGGCGGCGUGCUUAACACAUGCAAGUCGAGCGGUAAGGCCCUUUCGGGGGUACACGAGCGGCGAACGGGUGAGUAACACGUGAGCAAUCUGCCCUUCACUUCGGGAUAAGCCUCGGAAACGGGGUCUAAUACCGGAUAUGACCGCGCUACGCAUGUGGUGUGGUGGAAAGUUCUGGCGGUGGAGGAUGAGCUCGCGGCCUAUCAGCUUGUUGGUGGGGUAAUGGCCUACCAAGGCUUCGACGGGUAGCCGGCCUGAGAGGGUGACCGGCCACACUGGGACUGAGACACGGCCCAGACUCCUACGGGAGGCAGCAGUGGGGAAUAUUGGACAAUGGGCGAAAGCCUGAUCCAGCAACGCCGCGUGAGGGAUGACGGCCUUCGGGUGUAAACCUCUUCAGCGCCGACGAAGCGAGAGUGACGGUAGGCGCAGAAGAAGCACCGGCCAACUACGUGCCAGCAGCCGC